UUCCUGAUGGUCCAGUGGUCAGGAAUCUGCCUUGUGCUGCAGGGGGUACAGGUUCAAUCCCUGUUCAGGGAA
rnacentral:tRNA from 1 species